rnacentral:rRNA from 1 species
UGCAGUCGAACGAUGAACCACUUCGGUGGGGAUUAGUGGCGAACGGGUGAGUAACACGUGGGCAAUCUGCCCUGCACUCUGGGACAAGCCCUGGAAACGGGGUCUAAUACCGGAUACUGAUCCUCGCAGGCAUCUGCGAGGUUCGAAAGCUCCGGCGGUGCAGGAUGAGCCCGCGGCCUAUCAGCUAGUUGGUGAGGUAACGGCUCACCAAGGCGACGACGGGUAGCCGGCCUGAGAGGGCGACCGGCCACACUGGGACUGAGACACGGCCCAGACUCCUACGGGAGGCAGCAGUGGGGAAUAUUGCACAAUGGGCGAAAGCCUGAUGCAGCGACGCCGCGUGAGGGAUGACGGCCUUCGGGUUGUAAACCUCUUUCAGCAGGGAAGAAGCGAAAGUGACGGUACCUGCAGAAGAAGCGCCGGCUAACUACGUGCCAGCAGCCGCGGUAAUACGUAGGGCGCAAGCGUUGUCCGGAAUUAUUGGGCGUAAAGAGCUCGUAGGCGGCUUGUCACGUCGGUUGUGAAAGCCCGGGGCUUAACCCCGGGUCUGCAGUCGAUACGGGCAGGCUAGAGUUCGGUAGGGGAGAUCGGAAUUCCUGGUGUAGCGGUGAAAUGCGCAGAUAUCANGAGGAACACCGGUGGCGAAGGCGGAUCUCUGGGCCGAUACUGACGCUGAGGAGCGAAAGCGUGNGGAGCGAACAGGAUUAGAUACCCUGGUAGUCCACGCCCGUA